rnacentral:misc_RNA from 1 species
GAUGAAGAACGUAGCGAAAUGCGAUAACUAAUGUGAAUUGCAGAAUUCCGUGAAUCAUCGAGUCUUUGAACGCACAUUGCGCCCGCUAGUAUUCUGGCGGGCAUGCCUGUCCGAGCGUCAUUUCAACCCUCAAGCCCCCGGGCUUGGUGUUGGGGAUCGGCGAGCCUCCGCGCCCGCCGUCCCCUAAAUCUAGUGGCGGUCUCGCUGUAGCUUCCUCUGCGUAGUAGCACACCUCGCACUGGGAAACAGCGCGGCCACGCCGUUAAACCCCCAACUUCUGAACGUUUGACCUCGGAUCAGGUAGGAAUACCCGCUGAACUUAAGCAUAUCAAUAAGCGGAGGA